rnacentral:rRNA from 1 species
CCUUGUACACACCGCCCGUCACACCAUGGGAGUGGGUUGCACCAGAAGUAGCUAGUCCAACCUUCGGGGGACGGUUACCACGGUGUGAUUCAUGACUGGGGUGAAGUCGUAAACAAGGUACC